AGUGAACGCUGGCGGUAGGCCUAACACAUGCAAGUCGAACGGCAGCACAGUAAGUGCUUGCUCUUACGGGUGGCGAGUGGCGGACGGGUGCGGAAUACAUCGGAAUCUACUUUUUCGUGGGGGAUAACGUAGGGAAACUUACGCUAAUACCGCAUACGACCUACGGGUGAAAGCAGGGGAUCUUCGGACCUUGCGCGAUUGAAUGAGCCGAUGUCGGAUUAGCUAGUUGGCUGGGUAAAGGCCCACCAAGGCGACGAGCCGUAGCUGGUCUGAGAGGAUGAUGAGCCACACGGGAACUGGGCCACGGUCCGAACUCCUAGGGGGGGCAGAGGUGGGGAAUAUUGGACAAGGGGCGCAAGCCGGAGCCGGCCAGACGGCGGAGGUAAAGAAGGCCUUCGAGUGGUAAAGCCUUUUUGUAGGGAAAAAAAAGCGGCAGGUUAAUUCUGCGCUGUUCGGCCGGUACCAAUAAGAUAAGCACCGGCAAAUUCCGG
rnacentral:rRNA from 1 species